UUAUUCACCAAACCCGAAGUACUUACUACAUAUUAUUAAGGUCCAAACUCUUAUCUCUUUAGUGGUUUUCGGAGUCGAGAUUUAUCUAUACUACAAUUUAGUCUAUAUUUUGCUUAUUGUUUCAAUGUGUUUAUAAACACUUUAUUCAAAAAACAAUUUGGUCAAAUCAAUAUUUAUCCACACAUUUGUAGAAUGAACAAAUACUGAUACCCAUCAUUUUCUAUGAAGGUGAGAAGAAAUUCUCUAUAACCCUUAUUUUGGUUCAAUUAUUCCCUAUAAACUGGUUCAUUUUCUGGUCAAGGCUGGAAUAAAUCUACCAUUCUUGGUGCAGGUUCUUGUGGAACCCUGCAUUUGGCAGCAAGGGUUGAUCCUCAUCUUUCUGUUUCAGUGAAGUCCGCCACUAUUCCGUUUUCGACUUGGCUGAAAUGACGAGGGAGAAAUUCUGUUCGAAUUUAGAUUUUGCAGUGAAAUCAUCCAGUGUUUUAAAGAAGAUAUAAGUUUUAGGGAGGUCUAAAAUCUUCUCCUUGAAUACGAACCUGGUGGAUUCCUCGCUGAUCUGACAAAAAACUAUGGAGGCAACAUGGAAGAAUUUCUCGUCGCAUGUUGCAGCUAAAUGCUCCUUAACUAUCUCUGUCACGUUCAUGAAAAUGAGUUUGUUCACUAUUGUUGACCUCAAAAUCCGUCCGAUCGAGAUAUAUAUUGAUCUCACCCGCUUGUGAUGGUGGUGGUGUGAGGGAAGAAGAGACAACAAAGAUGAAGUAUAAAAAAUUACGUAUACACACAUGUCCAGCUAAAAGUACAAAAACUGUCAAAAAGGAAAGAAAAUGUAUAAGUAUAAACCCUAGGACAAAAAAUUAACUGAAAAUUCACGACUCUAUCUUGUUAUUUUAUGUCAUAAGCAGAGACACAAUUAUACGAAGUUUGGUUCCACAGAAACGGAAAUCUAAUGCCCUCGUCCACGAUGGCUCGGCCCUGAGUACGCCAUCUCGAUUCUAAACCCGGCCAUUAUCGGAUCAGACAAAGAUAGAUCCUUUACAGGUCUGAUGCACACAGCAUUUGAGAUCAAGAGAAAGAAGAUGAUGAUAACAAAAAAAGCUUUUAGGGCCAAUACAAAAGCAUGAGACUUCAUCUUUCUUGUAUUGUUUUGGCCAAAAGGCAAAGGUUGAUGGAACUGUGAAUUCUUGAACUCUCUAUAUAAAGGUGAUAAAAAGAUGGUAGGAGCCGAAGAAUGGAUGUUUGUUUGACUUGGGAAUUG
rnacentral:lncRNA from 1 species